GCGCCCUCCCUCCCGGCCUCAGCCUCCUGGUUCGCCAAACCGGAGGACUGAAUUUAUGGCUAGCCGGUCUCUGGGGCGCCUUCCAGCUCUGACAUUCCCGCCUAGAAUAGAUCUUCCCGAAGGUUUCGCAGACAGACCAGAGGGGACAGAGCCGGGAAGGCGAGACAGGGACAGGCGAGAGACGCUGCUCCCAACUCGCAGAGGGAGAAAGCGUGUAUCCCGGGCUGCCGGGGAGAGUGGAAAGGACUUUGUAUGAGAUUUUGUGGAGAGGUCCUGGUUAACUUUAAAGAACUCCUUGGGUUAGUUGGCUGAGAACCAUUGGCUUUGGUUGGCUGCUGAGACUUGUGGGAGGACCAUUUGAAAGCGCCUACUUCUCCCAGAGGCAGGGUCUCGCUGUCACCCUCAGGUUGGAGUGCAGUGGUGCGAUCAUAGCUCACUGUAACUCCUGGGCUCGAGUGAUCCUUAGGCCUCAGUCUCCUGAGCAGCUGGGAUUACAGACGGAGUCUCAUUCUGUUGCUCCGGCUGGAGUGCAGUGGUGUGAUCUUGGCUCACUGCAACCUCCGCCCCCCGGGUUCAAGCGAUUCUCCUACUUCAGCCUCCCCAGCUGGGAUUACAAGUGCACACCACCACACCUUGCUAAUUUUUGUAUUUUUAGUAGAGAUGGGGUUUUGCCAUGUUGGCCAGGCUGGUCUGGAACUCCUAACCUCAAGUGAUCUGCCCGCCUCCGCCUCCCAAAGUGCUGGGAUUACAGGCAUGAGCCACUGUGCCUGGCCCCCAAAUAUAUCUUUCUUAUGCUCUAUUGAUGUCAGAGGUUCUAAGAUAUCACCAAAUCACCUGUUUGAAUCUUUAAGCUCUAACUUAAUCAUCCUCUGUCCCUUUAGUUAAGAGUUGGGGCUGGAGGCAGCCUGUCUUUUCUUUCCCACUGUGGGAUAUAGGCCAUUUUCAACCUUUUCCUGCUUCAUUACUUGGCUACUGGAGUGACAUUCUUUCAGACUUCCAUGCAUCUCUUUAAAAAGCCCUAACAUCUACUUGACAUUAGGCAAUAAAGAUAAUGGGAUCUCUCCUUUCAAGUUUUGUUCUGAUUCCAUUUUUCACAAGAGUAAAUUGAAAUGCAGAUGAUUUGGGCAGGUUGUUCCUUUGUUCUGUAAAGUCUGAGCUCUUAACUUUUGACCCCAUGUAACAAUUACAGGUACAAGCAGAACCACUUGCUAUCAGGAUAAGCAAGCAUGCUGUUCUCCUAGAACAUGCUGCACUUGACUUGAUGAGGCAGGAAGACUGAGAUGACAGCUAUACUUGAAUUCAUGCCAUUCCCACUGGUCACCAGUGACCACACCCUCCUAGAUACCUCUUAUUCCUGCAAGUUUUGUCGAGUCAAGGUGUCAUCAGGUUUGGUUUUUGAUGGUAUAUAUCUCAGUAGUUAGUCCAUCUCUUAAAAAUAUGAAGUGCUGCCUUUUGAAAUUUUUCAGUUCUGCAUAUAUGAUGUGUGCCUUUUUUGUUUUUUAGACAGAGUCUCGCACUGUCCCACAGGCUGGUGUGCAGUGGCACAAUCUCAGUUUGCUGCAACCUCCGCCUCCCAGAUUCAAGCAAUUCUCCUUCCUCAGACUCCUGAUUAGUUAGGAUUACAGGCACCUGCCACCACGCCCGACUAAUUUUUUGUAUUUUGAGUAGAAACGAGGUUUCACUAUGUUGGCCAGGCUGGUGAUGAACUCCUGACCUCAUGAUCCGCCCGCCUCGGCCUCCCAAAGUGCUGGGAUUACAGGCGUGAGCCACCGCGCCCUGCCUGAUGUGUGCCUUUGUAGGUGCUCUGUGUAGUUGCUAAACCAGCUUGCUAUUUCCCAGGUCCUCCUUUCUAGGUUGGCUUUCCUCUUGCCUUAGGAACCACUCUGUUUUAGAAACAUGGCAAAAUUAAGAACAAAAUGAAAUUGGAAUUAACGUAGAAAAAAGUUCAAAUAAUGAGAAGUCUUCUGUACUAAUUAUUUGAAAUGUCACUUUGCUGAGCCUCCAUUUCAUUUAUGUAAAGAAGGAAUAUAAUAAUGUCUACCUUUGCCUAGUUCGCAGCUUUAUGGUAAAGUUCUUAUGAUGUUAUUAUAGGGAACAUGUCUCUCAACUGUAAAGUGCUUGCUUGGAAGAUUCUUUUUUUUUUUUUUGAGAUGGAGUCUCACACUAUUGCCCAGGUUGGAGUGCAGAGGCGUGAUCUCAGCUCACCAAAACUUCCACCUCCCAGGUUCAAGCAAUUCUCCUGCCUCAGCCUCCCUAGUAGCUGGGAUUACAGACGUGUGCUACCAAGCCUGGCUAAUUUUUUUUUUUUUUUAAGUAGAGACAGCGUUUUGCCAUGUUGGCCAGGCUGGUCUCAAAUUCCUAGCCUCAAGUUAUCCACCCACCUCAGCCUCCCAAACUGCUGGGAUUACAGGCGUGAGCCACCAUGCCCAGCCUGAUAUUACUAUUAAAUAGCUAUGAGCUAGGCUUUCAGUAAAGUAUCCCCUGGAUGGCAAACCAGUAAGAAGAGCUUAUAAACUUCACUUCUUCUGGGUUACAAUCUCUUAUCUUUCUGGAACGGUAAAGCACAAUGGUUGAAAUUAGACCCCUUAAAAAAAAAAUCCAAUGCUGUAUAUUUGCUUUAUCAUAACAUGUAUCCCUACAUGGCACUUCUCAAGAAUGGCAUGGCAGGGAGGGAUAUGAUAUCUUAAGCAUGUUUUCUCAUUAUGCACUUGUACACUGUGCAUUGGUUUAUACUUAGUUGUUAGCAUUUUCACUAAAAUAAUAAUUUCUCUGCUCCUUCCUCACCACCAUUCCCCAGUUCCUCCUCUCCUCUCAUCUAUUAAUGAGGAGGCAUAAAUAGGACAGAAGAUGAGUAGUGAGGAAGGUGAUAACAAGGAGGAACAAAUAUUUUAUGAAUUGGUGAGUCAUUUUUUUGAGAUUGUCAUGGCCUAUGAGAGUAAUGACCAAAUGGAAAUUCUUUGUUUUGUUUUGUUGGAGACAGGGUCUUGCUCUAUCACCCAGGCUGGAAUGCAAUGGCCCAAUCAUGGCUCACUGCAGCCUCAACUGCAGGGCUCAAGCGAUCUUCUCACCUCAGCCUCCUGAGUAGGCGGGACUACACGUAAGCACCCCGACGCCCAGCUGAUUUUCUUUAUUUUUAGUAGAGAUGGGAUCUCGCUAUGUUACCCAGGCUGGUCUCAAACUCCUGAGCUCAGCACAGUCCUCAUGCCUUGGCCUCCCAAAGUGCUGGGAUUAUAGGCAUGAGGCACCAUGCCUGGCUGAAAUUGUUUUGAAAUAAUUUGUUCAUAAGCCUGUCUUCUCCAGUAAAUUAUAUGCACUUCUAUGGGGAAUGUGUCAUUUCUUAUACAUUUAAAUCUCCCCAGUGUUCAUUAGGAGAGUCUGGCACUUAAUAUGUGCUCAUUGGAUGGCUGUUGAACAGAACCUAAAUAAUGGCAUUUGACAUGACUUGAUUUAGGACAUAACUUCGGAAAAAACUGCUCUGUGUUCAACAAGGACUAGCCAAAAUGUAAAAUUGGAGAAAAUAACACUCUAGCCUUUUGAUAUCAUCCUCAGUGCCCCCAAACAACAUAGAGUUGAUUCCUAUUGCUGAAUCACCUACAGAAACCUCACCUCUGUUAUUAUAACAAUAGUGACAACAUAUUUAUUGAAUAAUUACUAUGUGCCAGGUCCUGUCUAAGUGCCUUAGAUGCAUUCAUUCACUUUAUCAUCAGAGGAGCAGCAACACUAUGUGUUCUUAUUGUUUUCAUUUUAUAUAUGUAGAAACUUAUAUAGAUGGAAACUUAUAUACCCUUCCCAAGGAGAUGGAUAUUACUUCCUCCAAAUCACAAAUCUAGUAUGUGACAGAGCAGAGAUCCAACCCAGAAAGUCUAACUUCUGCAUCCAUGCUCUUAAUCACUACACCAUCUUUCCUCUUUGCACCGAACAGUUCUGCAGACAGCAGAUCCUUGAUGGGAAGUUGUGGUGAAAGGGGCAGUAGAGCCAGGUGGGCUCGAGGAACAGGAGAAAGGCAGUGCCCGGUGUCUGCUCUGGCUCCCUGUGGGUUGGGGCCAGUCUGAGUACUUCCCUCCCUGUGGCGUAUUUCUCAGUGUUGGUGACCAGACAUGGCUCUGCCCCAGCUCAAUGGAUUAGCCAGGGAUUUCAGUUAAAACCACCGGCACUACCAGCCAGGCUGGCUUUCCUUCCCCACACGCUCUUCUUCAAUUGAUGCAGACAUCAUUGAAAGAUAGCAUUAUGUGAGUAAUAUAGAAUACAAACAAGAAACGUUACAGCAUCUGAUAGAAUAGAAAGGCUGGCUUCAACCAGACCAGCUGGAGCUCAGUGAUGAUUGCUGCCACUUAAUCUCUAGAGGUACAGAGUUUGGUAGAAUUAAGGAUCCUCCUGAAACUGUUGUUGAAACAAGUCUCUCAGUAGUCCAGACUUUCUGUAGCCGCUUACUGAAAACAGGAAGAUAUUAUGAAAAGCCAUUGGAGGAAAGGGUGUCUGUGAAUGACUUCCAGCAGUGAAUGAAUCAUUAGUCAACCCUGGACAUAAAACUCUGCAUAUGCCCUGAGUUCUUUUCAUUGAUAGCCCAAUUCAUGUUCUAAUCUUGUAUGUGGAAACCUGGGGAAACAGUGAAAGAUGCUCAUAAAAUCUUAGGCUUCUUCUUUGAAUGUGCUAUGAAAUAAGUGGAGUAUUUAGUCUACUUUCAUAGAAAUAAAUGGGCAAACAAAAGAAAGCAAUUCCAUUUCCAUAAUUUCCAUAUAGGAGAUCUCCAUUUUGUAAACAGGUUGCUUUUCUAAAGGUCUAGUCUAACUCUAUGAUGAUUGUUAUGAAUUCAGAAAAAGUUUUCCUGAGAAAGAAUAUUGUAGGUGUGUAGAUAAGAUCCCAGGCUAACCCACUAAAGGUUUCAUAGAUACUAAACUGCUAUAUAUCUGUAAUGGAAAAAAGUAUAAAAUAAUCCUAUUGAAAUAUCCUGGUGAAAUGUAAGAUAUUUCAUUUCAGUUAUUUAAAAGAAAAUACUUAAGAAAAUUCAGUUUUAAUUAAAAUCUUGCUUAGGGAAAUGAGGUUUUGGUGCAGAUAUUGAAGAGGGUUUCAAGGAACUGUUGAGGACUGUACAGAUUUAUAGCACAACUUCAACGUGUCCAGGUAUCCAGAAUUGUCAUUGAAACAUUGGUAGGUACUCAGUGAAUAUCUAUUAAAUGCAUGUUGAUUGAAUUUCAUCUUCCCUUCAAGAAGUAUGACUUUCCUUUAUCUUGACGUAAAAGCAUAAGGUUCUCUUUAGAAAACACUGAUAUUUUCCCCCGAUAUCAGAAAUCUAUUUGCCUCAUUUCUUGGUGUUUUAGGACAUUAGACAUUUUCAAAGAGAUUUGAUAAUUCAAUUUGUUUGACAAAUCUAGCCUCUUCUCUAUUAUCCAGUUUGAAAAGCCCUGAGUGCGUGGCUGUGCCCCAUAGAAAUCUCUAGGACAAACUGUUUUUGUUUCUCUGUUUAUAUUUGAUCACAGGACUGACUCUGUUGGAGAUGUAAUGGAUAUUCGCACUUACUAAGCAUUAGCACAACCAUAUUGACAAUAACCAAAGCAGGCAGAGGCCCAAGCAUAACUCAGUCUACCAGACAGAUUCCUAUCCUACAUAUUCAAGUUGCAAUAAAAAUGAAAGAUUGGGAAAUUUGAAGCUAAAAUGUUUCCUCUUGCCUUUAACCACAGAGCUGCAACACUAUGCAUUUUUAAGAGUGAAAAACAGCCUCCUGUUCAUCACUGUAGUUAAGUAUAUGUUGUUCUUUCCUCCAGCAUCCUAACAGACCUGCAUUUUGCUAAUCCCUAAUAGCAGCAGUGAUACCUAGGUUCAACAGGAGCAUUUUUACUAUUCUCUACCUAAGUGAGAAAUUUAACAUUUUAUGUAUAAUAAAGGGACCAGAUAUCCAGGUUUGCCUGGGACACUUCUGAUGUACGCCUGUUGUACUGGUGUAAUUAUUAAUAAUUUCAAGAUGGAGUCUCACUCUGUCAUCCAGGCUGGAGUGCAGUGGUGCGAUCUCGGCUCACUGCAACCUCCACCUCCCAGUUUCAAGUGAUUCUUGUGCCUCAGCCUCCUAAGUAACUGGGACUGCAGGCGCCCACCACCAUACCCAGCUAAUUUUUGUAUUUUUAGUAGAGUCGGGGUUUUGCCAUGUUGGCCAGAGUGGUCUCGAACUCCUGACCUCAGGUGAUCCAACCGCCUUGGCCUCCCAAAGUGCUGAGAUUAACAGGAGUAAGCCACCAUACCCGGCCAAACUGAUUAUAUUUAUAUACUUGUGUCAUAGAUGAAAUAAAGAAAGCAAACAAAGGAGAAUGGAAAUAUCAGUGUGAGAAAUAGGUUGUUUGAGAAAUGAUUAAUGUUGUUAACUGUGAACAAUAAAGAAAAAGCAGGAGUUACUUUGCAUUUUCUUCUCCUCAUCCUUCUACCCAAGGCACCAGAAUGGAGAUAGAAAGAUUUUGGCCUUUCAUUUCCCUACCCAACCACCAAGUGGUGCUGUCAGGCAGGAACAGUUUAGUUGCUGGCCAGAGCUCUUGGCAUGUGGGAAGAUAGAGAAGCAGAAAUAAUGUGUCUGUUCUUUUUUUAGUUUUUUUAGAGAUGGGGCCUUGCCGUGUUGCCCAGGCUGGUCUUGAACUCCUGGCCUCAAGCGAUCUUUCCAAGUCAUUGAAAUUGCAGGUCUGAGCCAUUAUGCCUGGCUCUGAAAGAAGAUACUUUUGAGUAUAUAGCAUUAGUUGCAGAGGGAAUGUUUGUGUUAUCUGUAAUGGAUAAAUUAUAUGUAGGAAAUACACUUUAAAUCCUCACUAAUGAAUGAAAAUAUUAAACUGGCAUGGAGUCAUAGGAAGGGCACUGGAUAUGGAGUCAGGGCUGGAUUUCAUUUCUAACGCCUCCACUUCAUACUCACAUAUCCUUGGCUGCUUUAUUUAACUUAUUUAAAACCUAGUUCUCUUCUCUGUAAAAUGUGGCUAAGAAUGUCCUUCCUUGCCUCUUUACUCCAGUUGUGAUCCAGUGAGAUUAUGCUCAUGAAACAACCUUGCGCUUUUCUAGUGUAAAAUGGCAUAUGCAUUUCCCGAAGUGUUAUACUUAUUUCUUAAUCUAGAAAAGUGAAGGUGUGGGCCAGAUGACUUCUGAGGGAGUUUCUCUUCUCAAAUUCCGACAGUCAGAGUGGCCUAGGUUUUAAGUGAUCAUGUUCUUCCUCAUCAACAGUUUGCUGAUGUCGCUGACUCAAGAAAGAAGAACACAGAGGCCUGUUCUAGGCUCUGCUCCUGAUUUGCUGAACACUUUGUGCCUAGUUUCUACUUCAAGGGACAACGGAAGAACCCAUGAAACACUAGGAACCAAGGAGCUUCUUGGUAUUCAACCUGGCUAUUGAGUUAAUGUGAUCAUAUAAUUUGUCACCUAACCUAGAACACUGAAGAAUAAAAGGAGUGCUAUUAAUAAUUACACCAGGGGAGUCCGAGGCAGGUGGAUCACCUGAGGUCAGGAGUUCAAGAGCAGCCUGGCCAACAUGGCAAAACCCCAUCUCUACUAAAAAUACAAAAAUUAGCCAGAUGAGGUGGUGGGGGCCUGUAGUCCCAGCUACUCAGGAGGCUGAGGCAGGAGAAUUACUUGAACCCAGGAGGCAGAGAUUGCAGUGAGCCAAGAUCACACCACUGCACUCCAACCCGGGUGAUAGAGCAGGACUCUGUCUCAAAAUAAUAAUAAUAAUAACACCAGUACAACAGGCAUACAUCAGAAGUGUUCCAGGCAAACCUGGAUAUCUGGUCCCCUUAUUAUACAUAAAAUGUUAAAUUUCUCACUUAGGUAGAGAAUAGUAAAAAUGCUCCGGUUGCACCUAGGUAUCACUGCUGCUGUUAGGGAUAAGCAAAAUGCAGGUCUGUUAGGAUGCUGGAGGAAAGAACAACAUAUACUUAACCACAGUGAUGAACAGGAGGCUGUUUUUCACUCUUAAAAAUGCAUAGUGUUGCAGCUCUGUGGUUAAAGGCAAGAGGAAAAUAGCUUCAAAUUUCCUGAUCUUUCAUUUUUAUUGCAACUUGAAUAUGUAGGAUAGGAAUCUGUCUGGUAGACUGAGUUAUGCUUGGGCCUCUGCCUGCUUUGGUUAUUGUCAAUAUGGUUGUGCUAAUGCUUAGUAAGUGUGAAUAUCCAUUACAUCUCCAACAGAGUCAGUCCUGUGAUCAAAUAUAAACAGAGAAACAAAAACAGUUUGUCCUAGAGAUUUCCAUGGGGCACAGCCAUGCACUCAGGGCUUUUCAAACCAGAUAAUAGAGAAGGAGUCAGAUUUGUCAAACAAAUUGAAUUAUCAAAUCUCUUUGAAAAUGUCUAAUAUUCUGAUAUGGGAAAAAUGUCGCAAUAUUUUCUAAAGAGAACCUUUAAACCAGAAGAGAAAUGUGUACUACUAAGCUUGGAAGCAAAUAACAAAAGGAUCAACUUUCUAAAUAGUUUGUAGAGAGGAAAAAUGGCUCAAAUAAGUUUAAAUGGCAGCUAAUAAAUAUUCCUUUUAUGUUUUGGAGUAUGUUAUUAAUUUUUGAUUGCCCAUUUAACUUCUUUUGUUUAGGAGAACAUUAAUUAGAUUAAUUAGGUCAAUACGCUGAAGGAUAGAGAGAUGUAUUUGUUGCACGGAAGAGGAAGGGUGCUCAAAAGCUUAAAUGAUGAUAGAAAUCAGUUUGGUAGUUUAAAAAAAUCUAAUACUGGCCGGCCGUAGUUGCUCACGCCUGUAAUCCCAGCACUUUGGGAGGCUGAGGCGAGCGGAUUACUUGAGGUCAGGAGUUCGAGACCAGCCUGACCAACAUGGUGAAACCCUGGCUGUACUAAAAAUACAAAAAUUAGCCAGGCAUGAUGGCAGGUGCCUGCAAUCUCAGCUACUCGGGAGGCUGAGGCAGGAGAAUCGCUUGAACCCGGGAGGCGGAGGUUGCAAUGAGCCAAGAUUGUGCCAUUGCACUCCAGCCUGGGUGAAAAAAAAAAAAAUCAAAUACAGAUAAGCUACACAUACAAUGGAGAAUCAAGUAGAUAAAAUUGUCAUAUUGCUCUGUAGACAUCCAAUCACUUUAGAACAUUAAAAUGUUCUUUCUAAAAAUGUUCUCAUUCCUAAUGCCUGACUCUGAAAAGAGCUGUUCAUUUGUAAUUCUGGGGAUGUGACAUCAUGACUGGUUUUUUUGAAAAUAUAUGCUGGGUUCUACGGUAUUUUUGCCUGAGCUCAAAUUACAUAGUAAGAUACAUCAGAGACCUGUGUGGUGUUGCACAUGCACCAUGGGUAGAUUUUCAGGCUGCCCAAUCACAUGCCUUUCCUUAGGCCAUUAGACUGUCUACUGCAAGCAGACAGAACUUCCUCAGGUUAGUUGUGUAUUUUGAAAAGUCCAGAAAAGAGUCUUUGACAGAAUGGAAUUAUCUCUUUGCAUAAAUAUGUAUUAAUAGAUUAUUAUUUUUAUGGUCCAACUACCAUUCUUAUUUUAUGACUAUAAUUAGGUCAUGGAUAAAAUGACCCACAGCUGGUACCUUGCAGAGCUCCAAAUUAUGCCAAAGUCCAACCACCCAUGCUGCUUGUUGCCAUGCUACUCAGUGAUAUGGACCUGCUUUUUUUCCCCAAUUGAGUGGUUUUUAUGAGCAGGUGUUCAGCUAAUAGGACAAACAGAGGGUGUGCAGCUUUAGCCAGCUCAUUAACAUCACGAAAUAAUUGAAAAGGACAGAUACACCAGAAUGUCCAGCUCAGGGGACAGCUUUGAACCUACAAUAGAUCACUUUUCUGAGCAUCAGCUGUGAUACUGCAGAAAGAGAUUGAGUGAAGCUUCAGAAGACCCGGAGUCUCCUUCCAGCUCUAUCACAUAAUCUCCAGGUAACUUUGGACAACUGUCUUAAUUGCUUUAGACGUCCAUUUCAUCAUCUACUAUUGAAGCUAUUAACCUGCCCCACCUGUCACACAAUGUUGUAGGAUUCAAUGAGAUGGAUUAUGUUUAUGAAUGGCACUAUAAAUUAUCAACACUACAUAAAUACAAGGUACCAUUAUUAAGGUUCUAAUCUAGCUUUCCCAGUGACUCAGGAUAUAAUUGGGCAACAAAAUGACAUCAGGUUUUGCAAUCAUUAAAAUGGCAAAACAUUUUAGAAACUUCACUCAACCUCAUGACUAAUAAGAUUUCUUAGAACAUUUCAUUUGCUUUUUCUGGGUAAUCAAUAACCAAUAUCGAGAAAUAAAAUGCUUCUAGAAUUUAUAAAGCCAAGUUUAAGAAAAUGACAUUUGGCUGGGUACAGUGGUUCAUGCCUGUAAUCCCAGCACUUUGGGAGGCUGAGGUGGGAGGAUCACUUGAAGCUAGGAGUUCGAGACCAGCCUAGGCAACAUGGAGAAACCCCACCUCUACUAAAAAUACAAAAAUUAGCCAGGCAUGGUGGCACACGCCUGUAAUCCCAGCUGCUCUGGAUGCUGAGGGACAAGAAUCGCUUGAACCCGAGAAGUGGAGGUUGCAGUGAGCCGAGAUGAUGCCACUGCACUCCAGCCUGGGCGACAGAGCAAAACUUUGUCUUAAAAAAAAAAAAGAAAAGAAAAGAAAGAAAAGAAGAUGACAUUGAAUGCAACCACCCACUGCUAAAUUUGAUUGGCUGAAAAAUUAUUAUUAUUAUUAUUAUUAUUACUUGAGAUGGAGUCUCACCUGUCUAAUUUUUGUAUUUUUAGUAGAGACAAGUUUUUGCCAUGUUGGCCAGGCUGGUCUCGAACUCCUGAGCUCAGGUUGUCUGCCUGCCUCAGCCUCCCAAAGUGCUGGGAUUACAGGUGUGAGCCACCGCACCCAGCCUGACUGGCUAAAAAAAAUUUUUUUAAUAAAAAAAAGAAAAGAAAAUUAUAUUGAGAAGGGGAGAUCACUGAAGAUUGUGCUCUUUUAGUUCUAGAAAAUUAUUUGUCACUCAAUCUCUUAUUAAAGUACAAGGGAACCUGGAGAAGCUUGUAAAUGUUUGAAAUACUAACUGGUUACAUUAUGUCUCCAUUUAUCAUGGACAGUUCAAUAUUCCAUGCUGUGUAAAUAAAACAUAAACCCUCUAGCCCACUCCUUUCCCUUUCUGUUUCCCAUGAACCAGAUCUAAAGGGCGGUGGAACAAACAUAUGAGAAUAUUCAUUACAGCAUCAUUUCAGAGAAUUGGAGGCAAGAAA